AGUAUACUCUCAACAGUGGAUAUCUUGGCUCUCGUAACGAUGAAGAACGCAGCGAAAUGCGAUACGUAGUGUGAAUUGCAGAAUUCCGUGAAUCAUCGAAUCUUUGAACGCAUAUUGCGCCCGACUUCGGAAGGGCAUGUCUGUCUGAGCGCCGUCG
rnacentral:rRNA from 1 species